GACGUAGGGCGCGAGCGUUGUCCGGAUUUAUUGGGCGUAAAGAGCUCGUAGGCGGUCUGUCGCGUCGGCUGUGAAAACCCGGAGCUCAACUCCGGGCCUGCAGUCGAUACGGGCAGACUGGAGUUCGGCAGGGGAGACUGGAAUUCCCGGUGUAGCGGUGAAAUGCGCAGAUAUCGGGAGGAACACCGGUGGCGAAGGCGGUUCUCUGGGCCUUACCUGACGCUGAGGAGCGAAAGCGUGGGGAGCGAACAGG
rnacentral:rRNA from 1 species